AGAUGAAGAACGUAGCGAAAUGCGAUAAGUAAUGCGAAUUGCAGAAUUCAGUGAGUCAUCGAAUCUUUGAACGCACAUUGCGCCCUGUGGUAUUCCGCAGGGCAUGCCUGUUCGAGCGUCAUUUCAACCCUCAAGCUCUGCUUGGUGUUGGGCCCUGCCCGCUGCGGCCGGCCCUAAAGACAGUGGCGGUGCCGCCUGGCCCUGAGCGUAGUACAUCUCUCGCUCCAGUGCCCGGCGGUGGCCUGCCAGAACCCCAACUCUCGUGGUUGACCUCGGAUCAGGUAGGGAUACCCGCUGAACUUAAGCAUAUCAAUAAGCGGAGGA
rnacentral:misc_RNA from 1 species